rnacentral:rRNA from 1 species
UACGAAGGGGGCUAGCGUUGCUCGGAAUCACUGGGCGUAAAGGGUGCGUAGGCGGGUUUUUAAGUCAGAGGUGAAAUCCUGGAGCUCAACUCCAGAACUGCCUUUGAUACUGAAAGUCUUGAGUAUGGGAGAGGUGAGUGGAACUGCGAGUGUAUAGGUGAAAUUCGUAGAUAUUCGCAAGAACACCAGUGGCGAAGGCGGCUCACUGGCCCAUAACUGACGCUGAGGCACGAAAGCGUGGGGAGCAAACAGG